rnacentral:tRNA from 2 species
UGUGAGGUGACGAAAUUGGUAAACGUGUCAGUCUGUUUAACUGAUGUUCCUGGCGGGACUUGAAGGUUCGACUCCUUCCCUCACAG